rnacentral:scRNA from 1 species
GGAGUUCAGACAUAGGUGGAAUGAUGGACUAC